rnacentral:misc_RNA from 1 species
GUGAAUCAUCAAAUCUUUGAACGCAAAUUGCACUCUCUGGUAUUCCGGAGAGUAUGCCUGUUUGAGGGUCAGUUUAAAUAAAAAUUGGUUUGGUGGCUGCCUUUCUUGUUGAGGCACGGAAUUUGGUUCGUUUGGCCUUGGGUUAAGUGACCUAAAAUUUUGCAUGAUUUUUUUCGAAGGUAUUUAAUUGAUUUUACGUACGUUUGCGAUAUAGAAUAUUAGUGUUGGUAAUCUUCUUG